rnacentral:tRNA from 1 species
GGUGUGAAGCCCAGUGGUAGAGCGGCGACUGCAGAUCAGCAGGUCCUCAGUUCAAAUCUGGCGCGCCUCAUCA